UCGAGUCUCAUUGGGUCGGGUCGGUCUUCUAAGUUGGCGGGGCCCUGCGGGACCGGUCUGCUUGACCCGACCGCGCUCGCAUUGGAGAGCCGAGGCUCGAUCGGUCUGCCGGGCUGCAUAACCCCGGCCCCGCAGCAGCGGCGUCCCUCGCGCGCCGCCGCGUUUCCCGCGCUCUCGGCCCGUACUUCCCGGCGCGGCCUACAAGGCCCCGCGCGGCCCCGCCUCCGGGUCCCGCUUGGUCUCCGGCUGCGAGAGGGAAGGCGGAGGUUAUCCGCCGAGGGACAAGCGGCGCGGACCGAGGCAAAAGAAGCAUUACAGAAUUUACUGUUAACCUGUGUCCCUAAAACUGCUCUUAAAGAAAAGGGGUGUUUUCACCUGAAUGAUUCAGACUGUGUGGCCGCUUCAGGGAUAAUUGGAACUCUCCUGUGUGGAUAUGGUUUUAAUGUCCAGAUGCUUAGCCUCGUCACAAAUAUUCCCUUAAAUAUGGGGUUCCUGAGCAGAAGGGAAAAUGAGCUUAAACAUGAGGCUUGGAGGAGAAAGAAGGGCUGGGGAGAAAUAUGCAGCUGCCAAAGGUCAUCUGACAUAAUAGCUGAUGAAUUCAAGCCCAGUGGAUUUCAUUUGCAAUUUUCAAUUUACUGA
rnacentral:lncRNA from 1 species